CGACGAAAUAAAAUAUUCUGUUAUUUUUUUUUUCGAUUCAACUACAAAUGCUGGGAAGUCCAUCAAACAUAUUCAAACAUUGAAUAUUAAAAACUUGUGUCUAAAUAUUGAAGCAAAUAAAAUGGGAGUCAUUAAAGGAUUUUUGCUUCUUUUAAUUGUCGCAGUUAGUACUGCUGUUGGACAUAUUUCGAAUAACAACGAUCAAUUUAAUCGAAAAAAUAAGACCGAAUCGUAUAAUGAAAAUCCUUAUCAAGUCUAUAUUCAUCAAUUUAACGAUUCUUCAUUAACAUCAAGUGGAUGCAGUGGUGUUAUUAUUGACUCAUUAUAUAUUUUAACUCAUUCAUCAUGUAUAAAAUCUCCAAUUGAAUCAAACAAUUUAGUCGUCCUCACAAAUCCUGUUCUUUUAUUUUUCGAUGAAAAUAAAAAUCAUGAAAUUAUCGAUGGAACAAGUGAACACAAUGUCACCGAAAUAAUUCCGUAUAAAUCAAAAGAAAAUGAGUCAAAACAAUUAACCAUUUUGAAGCUUCAAGCACCAAUCAAAUAUCCAGCAUAUAAAAAACCAAUAUUAUCA